UUUACAAUGAGUUGAAAAUCGUUGCGAAAUGAGUCAAGAUUGAGCGCUUGUUGAUGACAUCACUCGCGAGGUUUCCGUCGCCACGGAAAUGAUGUCUUGACUGGGGGUGACAGAGAAAAUGGUUAGUGUCCUUUAGAAGGAGUAUGUAAAUCGUCAGGAAAGAUGCUAAAAACUAGCAGCUGAUUCGCUGGGUUGGUAUCAUUGAUUUGUGGCGUUUAUUUGGACUGUAAUUGGGCCGUGAGAGAGAGGGAUUGGAUGUCCGAGUCAUAAAACAUUGUGAUGGUGGAUUCUGAUGGUUGUUGAUUCUUGGUUUGAUCGUUUGAAUAGCACCAGUGAAUUUGAGCACUGUUUCCAUUAUGUGGAACGGUGUCAGGGUAUUAAUGGUGAAAAGCAACCUCUAUGGUAAAACAUAAUUGUACAUGUUUCGGUAAACUAGCGAGGUUGAAUUUGGUUAUUUGAACAUUUCCCUUGAUACGUAGACAUACGUAACAGGGGCAAGUUGUUUUUCCUUGAGGAACACGCAGAUGGUGUUUUGUUUUAUUGAGAUGUAAAUGUGAGUUGAAGGAGCCAAGGGAAAAUACGUUAUUUUUUAUUAAAUAUCAGGGAUUAUAAUCUUGGGGAGAAUGAGGCCAUAAACGACCAAAUUGGAAAGGCCUGGAAGUUUUGAUUAAUCAUUAAGGUUUGCAAAUAUAUACACAUAAAACAUUUGUUAGGACUAUUUGUUUGGUGCAAAGGUAUUUUAAAGAGACACGCUCAAAUAUGGAACUUUAUGAGUUUUUAUUUUAUGAGUUUUAAAUUACACAAGUGAAUUUGGAUUUUAAGGAUAAAGGGUUCUUUAAUAUGUCUAGUGUAGUAUAGAACUUGACUAUAAAAGGGUGGGUUGACUCAUGGACCUUAUCAUGACUGUCUUCUAGGGUCUGAUCAGCCUUAGGGGAGAGUCAUUGGUAUAAUGAAUGUGGUCAUAUUGAGUUACUAGUUUUAAGGUAAAUUCAUUAUAAAGGAGUUUAGGUUAGGAGGUUAGGAUAGGAGAUAUAUUAAGCCAAUAGGGCAGGGAAUUACAUAGAAAAAUAAGUUUCAGUUCUUAGGGGUGAUAAAUUACUGUAGAUAAGGAAUUCUGCACUCUGCAACAUAUAUUAAAUUCAUGUUAUUGUCAGAUAGAAUACUGAGGGUCCUUGAAGGAAGGAUUUUGAUAUGAUAAGCAUUUGUUUUGAAUUUUUUUGACCAUUAGGGCUUUAAAAAAAAAAGUAUUAAAUUUAACAGGUAUAUAGGACAUCUGUGAUGAUUUAGGAUUAUUGUUAGGUUGAUUAAGGAAAUGUAAGGACUUUAGAGAUUGACACUCAUAGACAUGAUUUUAGAUAAAGUCAAACAGUUAGAAGCUUAGUGGUAUUUGAGAAAUAUGAGAGAAAAGGUUUAAAUUGGUAAAUAUAUAUUUAAGAAAAUAUAUAAGUAGCGCAGAUAGUUCUUAAGUAGAUAAGAAACUUGACAGGGAAUUGGUACUGGAUUGACGCCCAAGGGAGAAUUGGACAUGUGGAAAACUAAAAGGGGCUCCUUCAUGAUGAUGUCAGACAUAAGGAUAAUAUACUAAUCUUACCUAAGUCAUUAUUUAGAGUAGGUAAGGUUGAUACCUGGGCAGAGUCAGGUAUCAAAAGGGGGAUGGGUAAAUUGUGGUCUAGGAUAAGAUGGGGCUUAUUGGAUAAGAAACUAAUAAAAAAAAAUGUAAGCUAACAAUUGGGCAUAGAAGUUAAAGAUAUAAUCAGAUAAAACAUAUGAGAAAUUGUUUGUUAACCAAGCCUGUAUGCCCAGGAUUUUAUGCAUUACAGGUGAACUACAGGUGAAGUCACUCAAUCCAGUCCCAGAGGCUUGGGGACCAUAGAAGACCCCUGGUGACAGCUAGCUGAAAGAGCUACCCAGAUUCAUAUCGCACGGCGGAAGGGUAAGACAUUUUUUCACUGUCGGACAAUAAACAGAGUUCGGGAGAAGAACUGGAAUUAACAGAAUUCCGGGGGCCAACUCUCGAAUGAAGUAACCCUACCUGUCCUAUCACCCCUGUUUUUGUUCAUAGAAGUGAAGAUGUGUCUGGCUCUGGCUAAGUGAUGUGUAUUUUGUUCCAAAAUAAGCAUAAGAGAUCCCUAGAUCUGGGUAGACAAGAAGUUAGAGUAGAGAUUACAUGAUAACCGACUUCGGACAGUUCUAGGAUUGGAGAAGAGGGUAUCCUUAUAGCAUGGGGGAUCCCACAAGGGUGGAUAGGUUUUCCAUGAUAUGGGGAAACCUGGGAGCAAUGUUGAACUUUGUAGAGGUGAUGAAAUCCUACUAACCAUCAAAACUAUUAAGCUCUCUGAUGCAGGCACUCACACCCUCGGACUACAAAGGACGAGGACAGACAUGAUGGGUGUGUUUUCUAUUAAGGUACUGCCAAGACCGGAGGUAACCGGACACACUCCUCUACCACCACUGUGUUAAAAAUACCAUUCAGGUAAUUAAUGUUAGAGACUAUUCGGCUAUGGAUCAAUUAGAAACUGAGACUGGUUUUGAUAGUAGGGACAAUUUGUGGCUGUCUUAUAUGAGGUACACAGCUAAAACCCUGAGAAGAAAGGACUGUAUUAUUUGUAGUCAUGAUAGACCUGUUCUGGCUACACACCCAUUUGCUGUAGGAGAAGGAGGGGGGUGGUUGUGUAUUUUGAGAAGUUUUUACCAGGUUAAGCCCAAUUCAACCCUCUGUUCCUCUUUGAGCCUUGUGUUUCCUGCAGUACCUCCUCAUCGGGCCUCUUGGGGUGUUGAGGCAUAUGGGGGCAAUUACGAGUGCAUCACGGGUAUAGGUAAUGGCAUUGAUUAUGGGAGAUUGCCUGAAGCUGAUUGCAGGAGUAACAUAACCAUUAAUUCCACUUGGCCAGUUACAGGCCUAAACCAAACUAGUGGUCUGGCUGAUGUAUGUUGGAUGAGUGGAGCCAAAAGAGUGCUGAGACCCAUUCUUAGAGGAGAAUGGCAAGGUACGUGUGGUCUGACCAGUUUGAUAAUUCCACUGACCAUUGUUGAUGUUGUUGCUGAACAGCUGCUGAGUUCUGUAACCAGGGGACCUGAACACAUUCCAUCCCAUGGGAGACAUAGAUGUAGUGCUCCAUGGACAGAGGAUGUAGUUGACAUACACACUAACCUGUUGGGAGUGCCAGUGGGGAUUCCUCAUGAGUUUCAGGCCUUGGGUAGGAAUGAUGGACUCUGGCACUUACUACCCACUAUGGGUCCAGCCAUGGUGGAUGCUAGACAGACUGCAUGGAUUAAUUAUAUCUACUAUAAUCAACAGCGUUUUGUGAAUUACUCCCGUGAUGCACUCACUAGUAUGUCUGAACAGCUUGAGGCCACAUUUGGGGUUUCCAGACAGAAUAGACUUGCCUUGGAUAUGCUUCUUGCCAGUCAGGGGGACGUCUGCAAGAUGUUCGGUAAACAAUGUUGCACGUAUAUUCCUAAUACCAGUCCAGAUGGUGGUAUGUCUAAGGCGGGGUUGAUGCACUAUCUGCUAAGAUGAGGUCCACAAGGGGGAGUGGAGGAGUCUGUUCUCUUGGCCUGGUUUGGUAAGUACACUGGUAUGAUGGUUACUGGAUUUCUGACCCUAAUUCUUGUAUUAUUUGUUAUUGAUGUGAUGUGCUGCUUGCAUCAUACCGUGUUUUGAGAAGUCUGUUACAGAUGUGGUGAGGGCUUCAGGCAUGAUGCCUUUGCUUGAUGCUCCAGUUGGCGAUGCCGAUACGGAAGCAUGCUUUCAGGGGAGGAUGGGACUGACUGAGGAUGACACAUGGUUUGGAGUCCCUGGGUGGCAAGGAGCCCACCUGGUACAGGAUAGGAGUAGCUGAGAGGACCAGAUGGUUUCUAAUAAUUCUUUACUCUGUUUUCCAUGACCAAAGUUUUAUCCUACAUCUUACAUGUCAAUAACAAUAAAGUUUUAUCCUGUUUUUGAUAAGUGACACCCUAGCGGGAGUCAAAAGGGGGACCUAAAUUUCACACUAUUUUCUUUUGUUCUGUUUUUGAAUGAGCUGUUCUCUUUUGACAUGAAGGUAGUUUAAACUUUGUAACUGUUAUAUGAUUCAUUGCUGAGUUUUUGUUCACACCCUUGGGGUUAUUUUACAUUAUAGCCAAUACCAUAUAUAUGAUUGAAUAUUAUCUGCUGUUGCCUUGUGUGGAUGUAUGUAUGUGUUAUGCUACCUAGCUGAUUUGAAACAUUGUUAAAAGUAUCAGGGCCAUGGAACUUUCUCAUGCUGGAAAAAUACAGAAGGAAGGGCACAUUCAGAGCGUGGGGUUGCGAGAACAAGCGGUCUUUUUGGUUAGAUAACAGGAGCCAGGUGCGAGAUAACGGUAUGGAGCAUGAGACCCAUCUUUCAGUUUUUGCAGCAAUUUUAGGAGGGGGAUCCAGUUGCUUUUAUUGAUUAAGCUUCUCCAUUGUAUGUCGUGUCCCAUCUGGGAUGGGAAGAGGGGGAAAUUAUUUUUCUUUGGGGGCCAUUUCCGGAUAGACAUACCUAGUUUAGGAUAUUUUUCCUUUUUGGAUUAUGUUUUCGUUUUUGCUUGGAGUAAUGUAUCUGGACUAUAUCACAUCUCUUAGGAGAUGUGAAGAGAGGGUAUCACAACUUUUUCCUGCGGGAAAAAGUUGGCUUAUGUGGACAAUCAUCUUACUUUUAUUUUGAGCUGUUCUCCGCUCUGUUAAAUGAGGGUUGUAAGUUCCUAGGUGGCUGGUAGCCAACUUAGUACAUAGUGGGAUUGAAUGGAGAACAUGAUGGUAAUACAUAAAUAUCUAUUUCUGUUUAAUACCGUGCCUUAUUUCAUAGUCCUUUUGGGAGAAGUUUCUCUUUGUGUCUGGAUCUAGUUAGGUUGUGUCACGUCUCUGGUGAGACGUGAAGAGAGGGUUUUGUAAAGAAUUGCUAUUAUGCAGGAGACCAAUCUACUGCUAAAUACAUGGCUAUUGCAUUGUUAUAACUGAGACAACACAUAGCAACGUAUUUUCACAGUAAAGCCUGUGGGGUCCCCUACAGGAUAGCUCCCACAUUACACACAUAAUCUCCCUUUUAACCGAACACUGUGUGCCCGAAGAAGAUUCUACGAUGACGGACAGACAACUGAGCCAAUGGCGGAAGACUACAGACUACAACCAGCUGAACCAAUCCGGAGAUCCGAUCUUCCUAGAGUCAACCUACUUUCCGUGACGUAUAUAAGGGCUGUGCUGACUGUUUACGCUCUCUGCCUGCUGUUCCAACACGAACUAACGGAAGAGCCGUAAUUACGCUGUACUAGAUAUUUUCACUCUGAAUAAACUGUUUACUUGUCAUAAAAUUUA